rnacentral:rRNA from 4 species
UGUUUCGGCUAGGGGGCCAUCCCGGCUUACCAACCCGAUGCAAACUGCGAAUACCGGAGAAUGUUAUCACGGGAGACACACGGCGGGUGCUAACGUCCGUCGUGAAGAGGGAAACAACCCAGACCGCCAGCUAAGGUCCCAAAGUCAUGGUUAAGUGGGAAACGAUGUGGGAAGGCCCAGACAGCCAGGAUGUUGGCUUAGAAGCAGCCAUCAUUUAAAGAAAGCGUAAUAGCUCACUGGUCGAGUCGGCCUGCGCGGAAGAUGUAACGGGGCUAAACCAUGCACCGAAGCUGCGGCAGCGACGCUGAUGCGUUGUUGGGUAGGGGAGCGUUCUGUAAGCCUGCGAAGGUGGCCUGUGAGGGUUGCUGGAGGUAUCAGAAGUGCGAAUGCUGACAUAAGUAACGAUAAAGCGGGUGAAAAGCCCGCUCGCCGGAAGACCAAGGGUUCCUGUCCAACGUUAAUCGGGGCAGGGUGAGUCGACCCCUAAGGCGAGGCCGAAAGGCGUAGUCGAUGGGAAACGGGUUAAUAUUCCCGUACUUGGUGUUACUGCGAAGGGGGGACGGAGAAGGCUAUGUUGGCCGGGCGACGGUUGUCCCGGUUUAAGCGUGUAGGUGUGUGUUCCAGGUAAAUCCGGUUCACUUUAACACUGAGGCGUGAUGACGAGGCACUACGGUGCUGAAGCAACAAAUGCCCUGCUUCCAGGAAAAGCCUCUAAGCAUCAGGUAACAUCAAAUCGUACCCCAAACCGACACAGGUGGUCAGGUAGAGAAUACCAAGGCGCUUGAGAGAACUCGGGUGAAGGAACUAGGCAAAAUGGUGCCGUAACUUCGGGAGAAGGCACGCUGACACGUAGGUGAAGUGAUUUACUCAUGGAGCUGAAGUCAGUCGAAGAUACCAGCUGGCUGCAACUGUUUAUUAAAAACACAGCACUGUGCAAACACGAAAGUGGACGUAUACGGUGUGACGCCUGCCCGGUGCCGGAAGGUUAAUUGAUGGGGUCAGCGCAAGCGAAGCUCCUGAUCGAAGCCCCGGUAAACGGCGGCCGUAACUAUAACGGUCCUAAGGUAGCGAAAUUCCUUGUCGGGUAAGUUCCGACCUGCACGAAUGGCGUAAUGAUGGCCAGGCUGUCUCCACCCGAGACUCAGUGAAAUUGAACUCGCUGUGAAGAUGCAGUGUACCCGCGGCAAGACGGAAAGACCCCGUGAACCUUUACUAUAGCUUGACACUGAACAUUGAGCCUUGAUGUGUAGGAUAGGUGGGAGGCUUUGAAGUGUGGACGCCAGUCUGCAUGGAGCCGACCUUGAAAUACCACCCUUUAAUGUUUGAUGUUCUAACGUGGACCCGUGAUCCGGGUUGCGGACAGUGUCUGGUGGGUAGUUUGACUGGGGCGGUCUCCUCCUAAAGAGUAACGGAGGAGCACGAAGGUUGGCUAAUCCUGGUCGGACAUCAGGAGGUUAGUGCAAUGGCAUAAGCCAGCUUGACUGCGAGCGUGACGGCGCGAGCAGGUGCGAAAGCAGGUCAUAGUGAUCCGGUGGUUCUGAAUGGAAGGGCCAUCGCUCAACGGAUAAAAGGUACUCCGGGGAUAACAGGCUGAUACCGCCCAAGAGUUCAUAUCGACGGCGGUGUUUGGCACCUCGAUGUCGGCUCAUCACAUCCUGGGGCUGAAGUAGGUCCCAAGGGUAUGGCUGUUCGCCAUUUAAAGUGGUACGCGAGCUGGGUUUAGAACGUCGUGAGACAGUUCGGUCCCUAUCUGCCGUGGGCGCUGGAGAACUGAGGGGGGCUGCUCCUAGUACGAGAGGACCGGAGUGGACGCAUCACUGGUGUUCGGGUUGUCAUGCCAAUGGCACUGCCCGGUAGCUAAAUGCGGAAGAGAUAAGUGCUGAAAGCAUCUAAGCACGAAACUUGCCCCGAGAUGAGUUCUCCCUGAGACUUUAGGUCUCCUGAAGGAACGUUGAAGACGACGACGUUGAUAGGCCGGGUGUGUAAGCGCAGCGAUGCGUUGAGCUAACCGGUACUAAUGAACCGUGAGGCUUAACCUUACA